rnacentral:rRNA from 1 species
UACGUAGGGGGCAAGCGUUAUCCGGAAUUAUUGGGCGUAAGGAGUACGUAGGUGGCAACCUAAGCGCAGGGUUUAAGGCAAUGGCUCAACCAUUGUUCGCCCUGCGAACUGGGAUGCUUGAGUGCAGGAGAGGAAAGCGGAAUUCCUAGUGUAGCGGUGAAAUGCAUAGAUAUCACGCAGAACUCCGAUUGCGAAGGCAGCAUACCGGCGCCCAACUGACGCUGAAGCACGAAAGCGUGGGUAUCGAACAGG